AGCACGUGGGCGGGCGAGUGCUGCUCAACUCACUACGACACGGGCGUGAACGAACACUCGGCUAAGUGGUGCCCGGCUUUCUGCUGCGGCUCGUCGCUGACAGGGCUGCUUACCUGUUGUGAAAACGGACUUCUUAGGGCAGCGAGCUACGACCGGUACCCGGUCUGCGCCGACUUCUUCGUCCAGAACUAUUGGGUUGCGAUCGUGAUCGGUCUGGGCGGACUGGCCGUCUUGACGUGUAUCGGGAUCAUCUUGGCGUGCACCAUCGGGCGACCACGGCAACCCGUCGCGCCCUCGGAGACACGAACACCCGUUACAAAUAGCGCCUACGCCUAUGGCGCCCCAACUUACAACAAGCCGACCGGAACGGCGCACGGGGCUGGGAUCAACGGGAACCCCACAAGUGUGGUAUGGUGACCACAGACCAAGCCAACAUGCGCUAGGAUCGAGCUUAAGCUAAGGUUGCCUAUCGGAGAUACAAAUGUAUUAACAGCCGGGCUUAUUGACGACAUAUCCACUUACACUUAUUGAAAAAUAUACAUUACUGAUUUUAAUAUCCAUUCAGUUGCAAUAGAAUUUAACAUAAACCAGUAACUAGAAAACAAAUCCUUACUGACAAGUGACCUGAAUCAAACAUA